rnacentral:lncRNA from 1 species
UUAGAAUGACAUGGGGAAAUGGAAGGAGAAAAAAAAAAACAAUGCUAAAAAGCCUAGAGAUGACCACAUAUGAAACGACCAUGUGUGUAAAGGAUUGCUGGAAAAUAAAUCAGUUAGAGAUGGCCUGGAUUCUGCCAUGUAAAUCAAAGAAGAGAGGGCCUAACUCAGCUGCCUAGCCUGGAUCACCUGGAACCCAUUAGGAUACAGGAUCAUAAACACCUCUAUUUUCCCUUCAGAGAGAGACCAGAACCACUGGAGUUAAGCUACCUGCAUAAGAGUUGAGUGCGAUCAGCUGUACUUAAUCUUUAAAUGUCCAACCCACUGAUAACCUUUGGUUUGCUUUGAUAACUAUGAAAUAAAUUCUCACUGCAUUGGAUACUGGCAUUCUGGUUUUUAUUCAAG